rnacentral:lncRNA from 1 species
UUUAUUUAAGAUUACAUCCGGGCCUCACUUUACGUAGGACGCCAUCGAUCCCUACAUUCAACCACCCAAUAGCGGUGCUCCUUGCAUCCAGAUGUGUGAAACGGACGACCUAACAUGGAAGUAAGUCGCUAUCACUGAUAGGCUGCCCGAUCGAUGGCACCGGCCCCUGGGCUUGCUGUCUAACCAUGCCCCAUGGUUGCAUGAUGACUUAUCCAAGUUGGCCACAUCCCGCAUCCGACAUGUCGCCACUGUCUCUCCUUCGUUUUUUCUUUAUAAUAUGUAGAUGGUGAAUCAUCAUUUGUGCCGCCAUUAUUUUUUUACAGUUGUUUUGUUCGUACCUUUGAAACCGACGAAGUCCAGAAUGGAACAAAUACAACAAGGAAGAUAUUUUGCUAGAGACGAAACAUGUGCACUUCAGUUCUGUUGAGAGAGAUGUAAGACGGCUACACAUUUGUUUGGGGUAACUUUCUUUUGUUAACAUGAAUUUAGUUAAUUGUUAGUAGAUAUGUUCAUAGGCUUUGAGGCCACAACUAACAGACUGAAGUCCUUGCUGAAUUAUGGAUCUUAUGGGAAGUAGCGAGAGUGUGAGACUAUGAUUUCGCCGUGGAGGCGUCACCUAACAAAUCUGCAUCCCAGGUAUAGUUUCUGAUCCUGAUGUCUUAAAAUACAUUUCUAUAGUUCUUAAUACAGUAAUACUUAACGACAUUUGUAUGGAAUGAAUGUUGUUGUGACUAAAUUCCGUGUGCAAGACCUAUCAGUUAGCAUGCUAGAAUAAAAGCUCUGAAUGAUCUAACUUCUGCAACUACCAAAUGUUGUUUCUGCACAUAGGUCAUGGAUUUCCCCUAUUGAUAUUGUACAUGCAAUUGGCUUCAAAUAUUUCAGUAAAAUCUCAUGAUGACAUCAAUAUAUAGACUUGUGCGAUAUGUGUGCAUCAAUUAUUUUGACCCAAGACAUUAUUCCAGAAAGCACAAGAUAUUACUUUAUCCAGUCUAUCCAGUCUAUUCCAGAAAGCACAAGGGCUUGUUGAUCUUUCUUUUCUAGAGUGUUUUUGUUAUGAACUCUUUCGUGAAUUUGGAGUAUCUUUUUUAUUUCUAGAACUUCUUACUGACUCUUUUCCAUUGUAUAGUAGGUUGUGAAGAAUGGGAGAUGCUGAUUUGGAAGAAGAAACAAUCAUCAAACAUGUAUAUAUAUACUGCUACUAUAGUAUUUAUACCUUGCAAGAAAAGAAAGCUGAUAAUUUCGAUGUAAACUAUGACAUUGUGGUUUACAAAUAAAUAAAAUGUUUCAUGUGUAUAUUUUCUGCACUAUGCUAAAUUCAUAUCAGAGACUUUCUA